UUUCCGUAGGUGAACCUGCGGAAGGAUCAUUAACGACUAACUAUGGUGUCUUGGUUGUAGCUGGCUCCUCGGAGCAAUGUGCACGCCCGCCAUUUUUAUCUUUCCACCUGUGCACCGACUGUAGGUCUGGAUGACUCUCGCACUCCGGUGCGGAUGCGAGGAUUGCUCUCGGGCUCUCCUCGAAUUUCCAGGCUCUACGUCUUUUUACACACCCCAAACGUAUGAUACAGAAUGUAGUCAAUGGGCUUGAUCGCCUAUAAAACACUAUACAACUUUCAGCAACGGAUCUCUUGGCUCUC
rnacentral:misc_RNA from 1 species